GGGAUGCUAUGUUAGCUAGCUGGCUAUGACUAUCCAAAACACUGGAAUGCUUCCAAGUCAAGCAGGCAAGAGGCGAAGCUGGAGGUGAGAUCUUUGCCAGAUCCCCAAUGAUGGCCAUAGCAGCAUAGACCAGCUCUUGGCCCCUCAUUAAAGGAUCUCUUACGUUCUUCCAAAGAUCUCCUGCGGGGAUAGGCUGCUGUGGUGAUGCCAAUCUACCAUGGCCUGAUGAUGAUGUCUACCUGAGACUCCAAGCCAAACUCUACGGAGUCCAUCCCCUGGAUCUUUCACCUGCAGCCCUUGGCUUCAUCCCGUCCAUUCUCACAUCCAUUCCAUUUCCUCAAUAAAUAUUCUAA